CUUCCCCCUAGAGGUGUUGCAGGUAUGGCUGCUAGGUCAACUGUGUGACUGUAGGUGGUAGAGAGGGGAAAGGCUAUGUCUAUGCUCAGUGUUCUGACCUGUGCUUAUCUGAGUAGUAGCCUAACACU